CGGGGUGAGUAAUGCAUAGGAAUCUACCCAGUAGUGGGGGACAACUCGGGGAAACUCGAGCCAAUACCGCAUACGACCUACGGGUGAAAGUGGGGGAUCUUCGGACCUCACGCUAUUGGAUGAGCCUAUGUCAGAUUAGCUAGUUGGUGGGGUAAUGGCCUACCAAGGCGACGAUCUGUAGCUGGUUUGAGAGGAUGAUCAGCCACACUGGGACUGAGACACGGCCCAG
rnacentral:rRNA from 1 species